AGCGGAGUAGAGCAGUUUGGUAGCUCAUGAGGCUCAAAACCUUGAGGUCGCGGGUUCGAUUCCCGUCUUCGCAC